UAUACGACCGUACCGCAAACCGACACUGGUGCGCGAGAUGAGUAUUCUAAGGCGCUUGAGAGAACUCAGGAGAAGGAACUCGGCAAAUUGACACCGUAACUUCGGAAGAAGGUGUGCCCUAUUAGUGUGUAGUGAACAACGAAGCAUGAAUGGGUUGCAAAAAAUCGGUGGCUGCGACUGUUUAUUAAAAACACAGCACUCUGCAAACACGAAAGUGGACGUAUAGGGUGUGACGCCUGCCCGGUGCUGGAAGAUUAAAUGAUGGGGUGCAAGCUCUUGAUUGAAGUCCCAGUAAACGGCGGCCGUAACGAUAACGGUCCUAAGGUAGCGAAAUUCCUUGUCGGGUAAGUUCCGACCUGCACGAAUGGCGUAACGAUGGCCACACUGUCUCCUCCUGAGACUCAGCGAAGUUGAAAUGUUUGUGAUGAUGCAAUCUCCCCGCGGAAAGACGGAAAGACCCCAUGGACCUUUACUGUAGCUUUGUAUUGGACUUUGAACAGAUCUGUGUAGGAUAGGUGGGAGGCUUUGAAGCAGGGUCGCUAGAUCUUGUGGAGCCAACGUUGAAAUACCACCCUGGUGUGUUUGAGGUUCUAACCUAGGUCCAUUAUCUGGAUCGGGGACAGUGCAUGGUAGGCAGUCUGACUGGGGCGGUCUCCUCCCAAAGCGUAACGGAGGAGUUCGAAGGUACGCUAGUUACGGUCGGACAUCGUGACGAUAGUGCAAUGGCAUAAGCGUGCUUAACUGCGAGACUGACAAGUCGAGCAGAUGCGAAAGCAGGACAUAGUGAUCCGGUGGUUCUGUAUGGAAGGGCCAUCGCUCAACGGAUAAAAGGUACUCUGGGGAUAACAGGCUGAUACCGCCCAAGAGUUCAUAUCGACGGCGGUGUUUGGCACCUCGAUGUCGGCUCAUUUCAUCCUGGGGCUGUAGCCGGUCCCAAGGGUAUGGCUGUUCGCCAUUUAAAGAGGUACGUGAGCUGGGUUUAAAACGUCGUGAGACAGUUUGGUCCCUAUCUUCCGUGGGCGCUGCAGACUUGAGGAAGCCUGCUCCUAGUACGAGAGGACCGGAGUGGACACACCACUGGUGUAUCGGUUGUCACGCCAGUGGCAUUGCCGAGUAGCUAAGUGUGGAAGAGAUAACCGCUGAAAGCAUCUAAGCGGGAAACUCGUUUCAAGAUGAGAUCUGCCGGGGCCUUGAGCCCCCUAAAGAGUCGUUCAAGACCAGGACGUUGAUAGGUCAGGUGUGGAAGUG
rnacentral:rRNA from 1 species